rnacentral:ncRNA from 1 species
CCUGUUUAAGGGCAAACCCGGCGAAAGCCGGGGGCGCAAAGCUACGGGCCUAAGGGUGGUAAGAAGCCUAUGGUCGCCGGGCUGCCGGG